rnacentral:rRNA from 1 species
GCACAAGCGGUGGAGCAUGUGGUUUAAUUCGACGCGACGCGAAGAACCUUACCUGGGCUUGACAUGCACGGGAAUGUCGUAGAAAUACGGCAGCCCUUCGGGGCUCGUGCGCAGGUGUUGCAUGGCUGUCGUCAGCUCGUGUCGUGAGAUGUUGGGUUAAGUCCCGCAACGAGCGCAACCCCCGUCCUUAGUUGCUACCAUUUAGUUGAGCACUCUAAGGAGACUGCCGGUGAUAAGCCGCGAGGAAGGUGGGGAUGACGUCAAGUCCUCAUGGCCCUUACGGGCUGGGCUACACACGUGCUACAAUGGCGGUGACAAUGGGAUGCUAAGGGGCGACCCUUCGCAAAUCUCAAAAAGCCGUCUCAGUUCGGAUUGGGCUCUGCAACUCGAGCCCAUGAAGUUGGAAUCGCUAGUAAUCGUGGAUCAGCACGCCACGGUGAAUACGUUCCCGGGC